AUGGCGGCCUUGGCCUGUGCAUCUAAUGUGCGCAGCCUCCUCCUCCACCCCGGCGACGGAGCUCCGGCGAGAUCCUUCUACUCCCAGCCCUACCAACCCAAGGUAGGCGUGGUGGAGUUCUUGAAUGGGGUCGGCAAGGGGGUGGAGACGCACGCCGCGAAGCUGGAGGAGGCCGUAGGAGGCGAUCUCCAGAGGCUGCUCGAGACCCGCACGCUACGGCUCAAGAAACUCGGCGUCCCCUGCAAGCAUUUUCAGAGAAGGCUUGAUGUGGUUUUGCUGGCUACACCCUGCUUCUUGGGGCAUUUCGUUGUGUAA
rnacentral:rRNA from 1 species